rnacentral:rRNA from 1 species
GAUGAACGCUGGCGGCGUGCCUAAUACAUGCAAGUCGAGCGAACAGACGAGGAGCUUGCUCCUCUGAUGUUAGCGGCGGACGGGUGAGUAACACGUGGAUAACCUACCUAUAAGACUGGGAUAACUUCGGGAAACCGGAGCUAAUACCGGAUAAUAUAUUGAACCGCAUGGUUCAAUAGUGAAAGACGGUUUUGCUGUCACUUAUAGAUGGAUCCGCGCCGCAUUAGCUAGUUGGUAAGGUAACGGCUUACCAAGGCAACGAUGCAUAGCCGACCUGAGAGGGUGAUCGGCCACACUGGAACUGAGACACGGUCCAGACUCCUACGGGAGGCAGCAGUAGGGAAUCUUCCGCAAUGGGCGAAAGCCUGACGGAGCAACGCCGCGUGAGUGAUGAAGGUCUUCGGAUCGUAAAACUCUGUUAUUAGGGAAGAACAAAUGUGUAAGUAACUGUGCACGUCUUGACGGUACCUAAUCAGAAAGCCACGGCUAACUACGUG